rnacentral:rRNA from 1 species
UACGGAGGGUGCGAGCGUUGUCCGGAAUCAUUGGGCGUAAAGGGCGCGUAGGUGGCGCGGUAAGCGUGCGGUGAAAGCCUGGGCUCAACCCCGGGUCGGCCGUGCGAACUGCUGGGCUUGAGCACUGUAGAGGCAGGCGGAAUUCCGGGUGUAGCGGUGGAAUGCGUAGAGAUCCGGAAGAACACCGGUGGCGAAGGCGGCCUGCUGGCAGUGCUGACACUGAGGCGCGACAGCGUGGGAGCAACAGG